CUACGGGAUGCAGCAGUGAGGAAUAUUGGUCAAUGGGGGCAACCCUGAACCAGCAACGCCGCGUGUAUGAAGAAUCAGAAUACUGUGUAAAGUACUGUUAGAUGGGACGAAAAAAUAGAUUAGUAGUCUAAAUUGCCGGUACCGUCUAAGAAAGCUCCGGCUAACUCCGUGCCAGCAGCCGCGGUAGUACGGGGGGAGCAAGCGUUGUCCGGAAUCAUUGGGCGUAAAGGGCAUGUAGGUUGUAAUUUAAGUCAGUUUUUAAAUGUCACGGCUUAACCGUGGACUGGAAUUGAAACUGGAUUACUUGAGUAUGAGAGUGGACAGAGGAAUACCUAGUGUAGCGGUGGAAUGCGUAGAUAUUAGGUAGAACACCUGAGGCGAAGGCGUCUGUCUGGCUCAUAACUGACACUGAAAUGCGAAAGCAUGGGUAGCGAACAGGAUUAGAUACCCCGGUAGUC
rnacentral:rRNA from 1 species